rnacentral:tRNA from 1 species
GGGCCCGUGGCUCAAUGGUAGAGCGUUCCACUCAAUUACCAAAGGUCGUGAGUUCGAAUCCCAUAUGGUCCA